ensembl:lncRNA
ACAUUCUCAUGCAGGUGUUAGUUGGAUAUAAAGAGCAUUUUGUUACCAAUAUUUAAUCCUGUUACCUUUAAAGUUUUGCUUGAUAUGCAUAUUACUAAAAGUUCUCAUGCUCAUUUUCUAUUAACAGCACAGUAAGAAAAUGCCUGUAUCUCAAGGUCAUAGAAAAGGUGCUUAUUUGGUCUUCAGGAUUCAGGGAAAAAAAGCCCUUACUGUGUCAGCUCUGAUGGGGUCAAAGCCCAAGAGUUAGGUCUUUAAUCUUUUUAAUGAAUUUUGAAUAUUCUUUUUAAAAUGCAAUGUUAUUUCUAUAGGUCAUGCAAGAGGCCAUUUACAUCAGGAAAGCUAUAAAGAAAGAAAGCUAAGGAGAGGCCUUGUGCAGUCAAGUAGAUUCAGAGCUGAGCUAAGCACUGGAACAUGUAGCUUAAAGUUCAUACAAUUAACUUGCAAUAUAAAUAAACAUAAUAAUGCAUGGUCUCCAAACAAAUGGUGCUUCGGACCACUGUUCUAGAGGUUCUAACUCUUCCUUGUUAGCUACAUAUGUUUUCCACAUUGCAAUAUGUCAUAGAGUCUAUAGAAUUUCUACGGAAGAUAAAGGGUUUUAGGCAGGACAGUAGGUGUGGUCAUACAUUAUCAAAAUCAUUCAUGAUGAUGGGUGUGCAACACACAUAUAAGCACAGUUGUCCCAAAUAAAAGACUAUAUUAUUUAUUACUAAAUGAUUUGAAACCUGGGCCGACACCAUUUUUAAUACUUGGAAGUUAAAAAAAUCCCAGGAAGGCAACACUUCCAUGGCCACAACCACCAUCACCACCAGUACAAGCCUCCACUGGCAACAACGGCUGACAUUUACGGAGCAUGAGCUGUGUUCCAAUCACUGCUGGAACCUCUUUACAUUCACUAUAUUCACAUCCUCACAGAUGUCCUAGAAACUAGAUGCUCUGGUCACCACUGUUUAAUAAACAAAGAAACUAUGAUGCCGAGCAAUGAGAAAUCAACAUACAGCUAGUGAAGGCGUGGAGCGCCAUGUCAGUAUCAACCCCAAAAUGCUCCUACUUGGGAACAAGUAAUACAUAUUUUUAUAAUCUCUUCUCACACUUAAUAUUGAUACCCCACUGCCUCUUGAUGGAUUUAGUGUAAAAAAAGUGUUUUGUAAUCAAAUAAUUUUAAGAAACAUCCUAUUUUAUAUUUGCUCUUAGAAAUUCACAGAUCAUUAGGUUACUAAGGCUUAUGUUUCAUAAUUUUAAAAUAAUUUAAUCCCACAUUACCAUACUUAAUUUAUAGAUUUUGAUUUAUUGUAUCUAAAUCUUUUUAUGUCACAUACAAAACAAUGGUAUGAAGAAUUCAUGUCUCGAAUCCAGAGAUAACACCUCAAAAUAUAAUGAAUUAUAGAAUAUGAUGGUCAGCCUAUCAAGAAUAUGAUGGAUUAAAAAAUGAUAGUGCUGAAAGGGUCCAGUUUUAAAGAAUUGUUGAAUGUAUACUGUAUAAUAAAAUCUAAAAGAAAUAAUAAUAUUUUAUAACAGUAAAUAUAGGCAAAAACUUAAAUGUCUGAUGGUUAAUAAAUUGCUGAUUACUACAUUUUAAUUAUGUAACACCCUAAACAUCUAAUGGCCUAAAACAGCAAUGAUUUAUUAUUUUUCAGUGGGCAGGUGUGAGCUACAUGUAAUUACACAUAGUUUCAUGAAACAGUAGAACCCCAUACUCGUCCACAUCCUCUCCUUCUUCUCUCUCUUCCCUCCUACAAGGGUCCUUUCUCACUAUUCAGAAGUUUGGCAUGGACAUUGGCACAGUGGGUGGCAGGUAUUCGAGAGGAAGCUGGGCAGAGCUGAUCUCCCAACCUCCAAGAACAUUGCCUUGGCUGCAAUCUAUUACUCAAGCUUUGUUUACAGACCAGUUGCUCAACUGAGGAAUACAGUGAAAUUGGAAGUCAAUAGCAUUUUGGACUUUUAAAGCAUGCCAACCUUUUUAAAGUAUGAAAAAUAUGCUUGGGGUGGACAUUUCUUCUUACUUCCAUGUGAACUAAGGAUAGAAACACAGAUAAGAAACAUUAGACCUGGACUCCAUGAGAAGUGGAGAAAAAUAUAUAACAAAAACAGGUAUAGAUUUUUAAAAAGCAUGUUGAUCUGUAAUACUAUUCUAUUUGGUGAGUUUGGCUCAUUUAGAGGGUUGAGGAAUAAGCUGUGUAUUAAAUAUGACAAUAUUUGGCAGAUAAAACUGGAAGAGUAGGCCUCAGGGGUGAAGAAAUGUGAAUGAAAUUUAAACCAUAUCUCAGAUCUGGGCUUUUUGUUGUAUGUGAUAUGGAACAGUGUUUUGUUUUUGUUAUUUCUUCUUGAAUGUAGAUAGGUAACCUGAAGACACAACUGCUCAUGCAUUGGUAUAUCUGUGUGUGUGUGUGUGUGUGUGUGUGUGGUGUGAGUGUGUGUAUAUAAUGUUGGCAUUAUAGCAGAUUAUAAGUGGAAGAUUAUCUGUUUGAAGCAGAAAUCUAGUUUGAUUUCUAUCUUGUAUAGUUUUUUUAGCAAAUUACUUUUAUUAAACCAGUAUUUAAAGCAUCUAUACAUCUAGAGAUAUAAAUAUUAUAGGGUUUCAACUAAAUAGAAUUCUUCAAGAUUCCAUCAAUAUUUCAUUUUCUCUUUGAAGAUGAGGAGAAAAGUGGGAUUGAGAAAAGGAAAGUUUUGGAAAUGAGCUGUCGUCUGACAGUGGAGCCAAUAGAUAUAGGGUCUAUCUUUAAAAACUAAUUCUUCGGGGCUCUGCUAUGAGCAGCAGGUCCUGACCCUCGGGAAACACCAGCUCUCUGCAGUGAUGGAGUGAAACAGAAACUUAUGGGAACCCAGGGGGAGAGCCGAUCUGUGCAGCCAGGAACAGACUUGAGCUUUUCUGCUUUUACUGCUCACAGCGUCCUGCUGUGUUGACAAUAGGUUCAGAAACAAAUUGCAAAGCUAUCUUUCUUUUUCUUUAAUGUAUUUUUGUAAAGCUGAAGUAGAAAUCGUCUUACACAUUUUGUUUUUUGUAAUUUUCCCUGAUUGGAUAUUGCUUGGGAUGUAAUUAGCACAUUUGAAGAAAAUAAAUGUAGGAAUAUUUCUAAUUUUUUCAUUCGUCAAAGGUUAAUAACUUGGGACAUGUCUAUUAGGAUUUCACAGGGACUUGUCAUUUGGAGUUAUGAUUUAUCACCCAGUUAGAAUAACAGGGACAGAAAAUAAGACAAAAUAUAGAAACAGUGACUAUUUCAACUUAAACUUUAGCAGACUUUUAUUCAGAACAAAUAGCUCACCUUGCAUCAUCCACGAUGGCCACAAGCCUCCAGGAUUAUUAAAACAUGUUUACUACAAGCUAUAUCAUUGGAAAAAUUAAAAUGCUUCCCAAUAUAUUUUCAAAUUCUCAACAUUUAAUUGUGUAAUUCUUUGUGCAAUUUUUUUUAGUUUAAUUGUCACAGGAUGCAGAUGGUAUUAAAAUCUUCCACACUCAGAGUCUAAGGGUCAUUUAGAUACGUUUGAAUCCACUGUAGAUAUUUUCAAUGAAUUGUAAAGAUUAGUCUCCUUGUGUGAGCCUUACAGUGUUACCCCUUCAAGAUGAGAGACACGUGGAUAAAUAUAUCUUUUGUUUUUCCCUUUGGCUUUAUCCUGUGGAUGUAUCACGUUGCUUUGAUAUUAUGUGUCAGUUCCCAGUCUAGGUCACUGCGCUGUCAUUCAGGUUAGCUUAAAAUUGUCUUAGUACAUAAACACGUAAGUACAUACAUGCUCUUUGUUCUAAUAAAAAUACUGUGAAGAGAUGAAGAGAAUGCUCUGUUAUGGUCUGUGGGACAACAAUCCAUAAUUUACUUUUGCAGAUGUCUGUGUAAUUUAAGCAGCAGGCAGAACAACCACACAGUUGUAGCUGCUCUAGGGAAAGGAUACCAAGAGGCUCAUAAAUCACGGGAAGAAUUAAAAGCAAUGAGCAUUCAUCUUCUUAACCUCGUAAGGCAAUAUGGGAAAGCCAAGUUUCAGAACACACAGAGCACAGAAUCUUUGUGCAGGGAUAAGAGGUGUCAGAGAUUUAAUCCUUCUCUCAAUUAGCACUGACCUUUCAUUUGCAAGUCAGCAGAACAUCAUUUUAAGGUUGAUUAAAAGAGACCUCUUCUGCAACAAAUCAAACUGAAUAAGUGAUAAGGUGUUUUUCUGGGCACUAGUAAAUGAACUGAAAUCAUAUGGAAAUGUUAGUCAUUUACUUAAAGCGAACAUGUUUCUUCUUGCAUAAUACAGUAUAUAGAAAAUAACCUUGCAAGUAACCCAUCCAUAAAGGUCAUCACGUUUAAUUGAAUAUUGUUAAUAUAAAUAAAUGUCAUGAGAAAAUACUAACUUCAAAGCAGUCAGUGAAGGGGAUAAAGAUGGCUGGCUCUCCCUAUAACAUUUAGUCAGUAAAUGAUCUGUUACUAAUUGUUUAUAUUUGAAAAAUUAUUCUAAUCAAAGGUCUUUGGAUGCAAAUGAGUAAAUUAAACACAAGGAGGGAAGUUUUAUUUUGUGCAGAAAAUAGAAACUUUAAUCAAAUUUUAAAGCUUUGGAAAACUAAUAAUUUGCUAAUUUUCUCACCAUUCUUUCAAACCAAGUUCAUGAUCAAAGUGAAGUUGCUAAUUUUAUAAAAACGUCAGCAUUGUGCAGAAAAUACUAUAACAACAUUGUGAAGGACAGGUCCUGUUUGGAAAGAUAUAGACAGAUUUCAAUUUCUGAUUCCCCAGUUUAGAGUCACACAUCCCUUGGCAAUUAUUCUUUUUAUGUACCCAAUACCUAAUUAUAUAUUUCAGUCAUGAAGGCCGGUUGUGGGUUAAUCUUGAGUGCCAUGUAAUUGUGUGUAUCGGAGAGAAAGGAGGAGGAGAAGGGAGAAGAGAUGCUUGCAUAUUGUAUACUGUGUGGGAGUAUAACUUGCUUUGCGUUCAUAUUUAAAAAUAAUGUCAGCUGUUAUUUAGAAAGUUACACUGACCUGACUUUGAACGCAGCCUGAGAGACACACCACUUAUUGUAAUUUUGGUUGCUGUGGCACUGAGUGUAUCCUGUGCUACAUCCCUUGAUGGGAAAGAUAACCAUCCUCUUCACCUGGCAGAAACUGCUUCAGCACUCUAACACUACUUUCACUACCACUUUUCCUUCCUGACAAAUGAUGGUUAAGUAUCAUAUGCUUUAGUACAAGCUUGGAUGAUAUUAAAGUUAAUCAGCUUCGUUAUAUUAUGGAUUGUUGCAUUUGGUUGUUUCCUUGUCUGAUUUCUAACAAGAUUGUUCUGAUUUUACCAGGAAAUAGUCCAGAGAAGGCAUUUAGGCAACACAAGGACCCAACUAAGAUUUUUGCCAUAUGAAGUAAAAUUGAGUAAAACAAGUACCUGGAGAAAUUCAGUGUGUAUCUUUUGAAUAAAAAUACAUAAAAUCUCCUUUCAGUUAAUGAUAUUUAGCAAAAAAAUUGGGUCCCAAAAUUCAAUAAAGAGCAGACUAUAAUUUAAAAUGAAUAAACAAUUUAUCUCCAUAUCUCCAUAUAGG